CGCAGGGGCGGGCUGCGGGGCAGGCGGUCCCCUUCGGGAGGUGACCCUUCGGCGCUGUGGGGUUGGGGCGACGGCGGGACACCCCUCGGAAGGGCGGUGAGGGCCCUGGCAGCCCUACGGCCUGGCAGCCCGGCUUCCGCCGCUGUGCAGCUGCGGGAAAUCCGGUCCUAAGAGUUUCUGAUGUUAAAACGACAAAGCCCCGAGAUGCGGGAAGGUUCAAAGUGAAAGCUGCUGUCCUCCGCACGUGCCGGUGCAGUAGAGUCUGCCCCUCGCUCCCCAAACCCGUAACCGAGCCCGGUUUGCUGUGGCAGCACAUUGUACCUUCUACUGCGGAAUCUGCUGGAGUUGUAGCGUAACUUUGUGUCUGCAGUGCGCGCCAGUUGCUCCAGCCUUACGCUUUGGUGAUGGGUAGAGUAGGAAAAACAUCACAACAUCUUUAACUCCGACUGUUGUUGUUGUCUCACAAUUCUAGGAGAGUGCAGAAAUGUCUCGCUUCGAAAAUAAAGGACUAAUACUGGGCAUAAUGGCAGGGACUGCUGGCAUAAGCCUGAUGGUGAUUUGGUACCGUAAGAUCCGAAAACCGGGUGCAACUGUGCGUAUACCUGCGCUCCUAAAUGCAAGUAACAGGCUUAGUUCUGUGGGCUUGCAAAAUGAAGCUCCGAAUGAGCAAGGAGCAGUAAUGGUUUUAUAUGGAAGGCAACUGCAGAUACUAGAAAAAUUGAAUGACUUGCUAGUGAGUGUGGAUGAACUGAAGAGAGAGGUAAAAUUUCUGAAAGAAGCUAUUCCAAAGCUUGAAGAGCUUGUUCGCAAGGAGCUUCAAGGGAAGGGAGAUGUUCAGAGAGUAAGCCCCUCACACAGAGCAACAAAGCGGAGAAAAGCUGAGACAGCUUCUGGUGCUGCAGAAACUACCAGCUCUGAGGAGGCGGAAAGUGAAGGAGGUUAUCUUACAGCUCAUACUGAUACUGAAGGAGACUCUGAGGAAGAAAAGGGAUGUAAGAAAUCACCUGAUGCCAUUGCGAAAUCAGAAGACGAAGAGUUGUUUAAUUUUUUACAGCAGGUGGACAAUUUGCACAAGGGUUCAGAGAAUGACAAAAAGGAGGGCUUCAGACUGCUGCUUGAGAAAGAUGACAAGUAUGAAAACUGUGUGGACUUUCUUUGGAGACUUGCACGUGCUUAUGGAGAUAUGUUUGAGAUGACUACUGAUGCUAAUGAGAAGAGGAAAUAUGUUGCUGAUGGAAAGAUUAAAGCUGAAAAGGCUGUACAGCUGGAUGGCAGGAGUGCUGAGAGUCACCAGUGGUUUGCAAUUAUGUGUGGCUAUAUGUCUCAAUUUGAAAGUGUACAAAACAAAAUCAGGAAUGGUUAUCUCUUUAAGGAGCAUCUAGACAAAGCAAUUGAACUUAAGCCUCAAGAUCCUUUUUUAUAUUACCUAAAUGGAAGAUGGUGCUAUUCAGUAGCUCAGUUGUCUUGGAUUGAAAAGAAAGUAGCUGCUGCUCUCUUUGGGACUCCACCAACUUCAACAGUAGAAGAAGCAUUGCAGAAUUUCCUUAAGGCGGAAGAAAUGCAUCCGGGAUAUUCCAAAUGCAAUUAUGUGUAUUUGGCAAAGUGCUAUAAAGAUCUUGGCCAGAAAAACAAUGCACUGAAGUACUGUGAUUCUGCACUGUCGAUUCUUUCAGUUACUAAUGAGGAAGUAUAAUACAGUGUUGGCUCUGAGCACAGCAUAUUACUUGCCUCUUGCUCCACCACUGGGUUCUCUCUGCUAUGAGCCCAGUACCGUAGGCAGAGCUCACUAACACCGGUAUGGAAGGUACUGAGGGUGUAGUCCAUCCAUGCUGGUUAUUAGAGGAUAAAGAGGCCCAGAAAGACUUAGAGGCUUUACUUCUCACACUGAGGCUGUGACACUACGUGCUUUUUAACUCUUCAUGCUGUGAUAAAAUUGCAAAACUGAGAAUCUACAGUGACUGGGAACUGUGGGUGAAUUCCAGCUGAGUGAAUGGGAAAACUGUCAUUGAUUUUGGUUGGUUUGGAUCAUGGCAUUUAAGCAUCCGGUGAUUAUGUUAUGAAAAUGAUGGAUUCAUUUUUUAUUAUUUAUAAUCUCAUACUGAAGUUUAAUUUUAAAUUGCUGACACUGUGAGUCUGAUUCUCUGAACAUGAAGUCCACUGCUGGCAAUGGACAUACUGGGGGUUAGAAAGCAAAAUGCAUAGAUCUCACUCUUUGUAAGAUUAAUUGACUAGUAUGCGAUGCCAGCAUAGAACUGUCUGUAGCAAAACCAAACAAAUGUUUCUAUAGUAAAUUAUAUUUGUAUCAACUAAUUUACGUAGAUGUGUACAGAAGAAAAUCAUGAAUGCCUAUGUUUACACAUUUUCCUCUACUAUUAUAAAAUUAGAAUCUUGUUGAAGUUAAAGCUGUUGCCUCCACAAAGCUCUUUUUACUUUAAACCUACUGUCAGUUUUAAAUGAAAAUGUGAAAACUUUACAAAUUAAAUACUAAAAUUUUAUUUUAUUUGCAAUAUGAAGUACAAUAUUAAAAAUCAGACCAAUUGAAA